rnacentral:hammerhead_ribozyme from 1 species
AUCAAGCUGACGAGUCCCAAAUAGGACGAAACGCGCGCCCAU